AAUCAUCGGCUCACCGAUGGGUGUUCAGGAGAUACUGGCGACCUAGGGACCGGGAGAGGUGAGAGGUACUCCAGGGGUAGGAGUGAAAUCCUGUAAUCCUUGGGGGACCACCUGUGGCGAAGGCGUCUCACUAGAACGGCUCCGACAGUGAGGGACGAAAGCUGGGGGAGCAAACCGGAUUAAAUACCCGGGUAGUCCCAGCUGUAAACGAUGCGCGUUAGGUGUAUCGGUGACCACUAGUCACCGAGGUGCCGAAGAGAAAUCGUGAAACGUGCCGCCGGGGAAGUACGGUCGCAAGGCUGAAACUUAAAGGAAUUGGCGGGGGAGCACCACAACAGGUGGAGCCUGCGGUUUAAUCGGACUCAACGCCGUGAAGCUCACCGGAUAAGACAGCUGAAUGAUAGCCGGGUUGAAGACUCUGCUUGACUAGCUGAAAGGAGGUGCAUGGCCGUCGUCAGUUUGGACUGUGAAGCAUCCUGUUAAGUCAGGCAACGAGCGAGACCCACGCCCACAGUUGCCAGCAUGUCCUCCGGGAUGGUGGGGACACUGUUGGGACCGCCUCUGCUAAAGAGGAAGAAGGAAUGGGCAACGGUAGGUCAGCAUGCCCCGAAUUAUCCGGGCUACACGCGGGCUACAAUGGUCAGUACAAUGGGUAUCAACACCGAAAGGUGAAGGCAAUCUCCUAAACCUGUCCUUAGUUCGGGAUUGUGGGGCUGCAACUCGCCCACAUGAAGCUGGAAUCUGUAGUAAUCGCGUCUCAAAAUGGCGCGGUGAAUAUGUCCCUGCUCCUUGCAC
rnacentral:rRNA from 1 species